GUAGGGUAACGGCCUACCAAGGCAAAGACGGGUAGCUGGUCUGAGAGGAUGAUCAGCCACACUGGCACUGGAACACGGGCCAGACUCCUACGGGUGGCAGCAGUGGGGAAUAUUGGACAAUGGGCGCAAGCCUGAUCCAGCGACGCCGCGUGAGUGAUGAAGGCCUUCGGGUUGUAAAGCUCUGUGGGGAGGGACGAAAAAGGUGGGUUCAAAUAGGGCCUGCCCUUGACGGUACCUCCUUAGCAAGCACCGGCUAACUCUGUGCCAGCAGCCGCGGUAAGACAGAGGGUGCGAACGUUGCUCGGAAUUACUGGGCGUAAAGCGCGUGUAGGCGGAUUCGCAAGUCGGGUGUGAAAUCCCCGGGCUCAACCUGGGAACUGCAUCCGAAACUGCGUGUCUAGAGUGCCGGAGAGGGAAGCGGAAUUCCUGGUGUAGAGGUGAAAUUCGUAGAUAUCAGGAGGAACACCGGUGGCGAAGGCGGCUUCCUGGACGGUGACUGACGCUGAGACGCGAAAGCGUGGGGAGCAAACAGGAUUAGAUACCCUGGUAGUCCACGCCGUAAACGAUGGGUGCUAGGUGUCGCGGGUUUUGACCCCUGCGGUGCCGUAGCUAACGCGUUAAGCA
rnacentral:rRNA from 1 species